ACACUGAUUUUGGGCCCCCACUGCAACCUGUCCAUGGCAUGGGGGGUCAAGCUGCAGCUCCACAGGAUGUGCUUGUACAUACCUGGGGCCACCUGGCCUUUGGGGGCGGUUCUUUUAACCACAAGCAACAUGG
ensembl:snoRNA